rnacentral:rRNA from 1 species
UACGUAGGUGGCAAGCGUUGUUCGGAAUUAUUGGGCGUAAAGGGCGCGUAGGCGGCUUGUUAAGUCGGCUGUGAAAGCCCGGGGCUCAACCCCGGAGGGUCGGCCGAUACUGGCGAGCUAGAGUACGGAAGAGGUAGCUGGAAUUCCGGGUGUAGCGGUGGAAUGCGUAGAGAUCCGGAAGAACACCGGUGGCGAAGGCGGCCUGCUGGGCAGUGGCUGACGCUGAGGCGCGACAGCGUGGGGAGCAAACAGG